rnacentral:rRNA from 1 species
UGGGGGAUAUUGCACAAUGGGCGAAAGCCUGAUGCAGCGACGCCGCGUGGGGGAUGAAGGCUUUCGGGUUGUAAACCUCUUUCGCUAUCGAACAAGGCCCGCUUAGGGUGGGUUGAGGGUAGGUGGAGAAGAAGCGCCGGCUAACUACGUGCCAGCAGCCGCGGUAAUACGUAGGGCGCGAGCGUUGUCCGGAAUUAUUGGGCGUAAAGGGCUUGUAGGCGGCUUGUUGCGCCUGCUGUGAAAACGCGGGGCUUAACUUCGCGCGUGCAGUGGGUACGGGCAGGCUUGAGUGUGGUAGGGGUGACUGGAAUUCCAGGUGUAGCGGUGGAAUGCGCAGAGAUCUGGAGGAACACCGAGGGCGAAGGCAGGUCACUGGGCCAUUACUGACGCUGAGGAGCGAAAGCAUGGGUAGCGAACAGG